rnacentral:rRNA from 1 species
GACGAACGCUGGCGGCGUGCUUAACACAUGCAAGUCGAACGGAAAGACGCUGCUUUUGUGGGGUGCUCGAGUGGCGAAGGGGUGAGUAACACGCGAGUAACCCGCCCCUGACUUUGGGAUAACUUUAGGAAACUGGGGAUAAUAUCCGGUAGGAUCUCUUGAUGCACGGGGGGGGUUGGAAAGAUACGGCGGUUGGGGAUGGAUUCGCGGGUUAUCAGCUUGUUGGGGGGGUAGUGGAGUACGAAGGUUUUGACGGAUAGCCGGCCUGGGAGGGGGGCCGGCCACAUUGGGACUGAGAGACGGAGCAGUAGCCUAUCGGACGCAGUGGUCGAGAGUAUGGCAGAGCAGGCGGGAGUGAGAGGCGACAGCGUCGGGUGCGGAAUGACGGCCUUUGGGUUAUAAACCGCUUUCGCCUGAGACGAAGCGUGAGUGACGGUAAUGGGUAAAGAAGCACCGGCUAACUACGUG